rnacentral:tRNA from 1 species
GAGGGUUUAGCUCAGUGGCAGAGCGCGUGCCUAGCACGCACAAGGUCCUGGGUUCCAGCCACAGGACCGUCA